GCUAGUAAUCGCGGAUCAGCAUGCCGCGGUGAAUACGUUCCCGGGCCUUGUACACACCGCCCGUCACACCAUGAGAGCCGGGAACACCCGAAGUCCGUAGUCUAACCAUUAAGGAGGACGCGGCCGAAGGUGGGUUUGGUAAUUGGGGUGAAGUCGUAACAAGGUACC
rnacentral:rRNA from 1 species